AUUGAACGCUGGCGGCAGGCUUAACACAUGCAAGUCGAGCGGGGGGAGGUAGCUUGCUACCGAAGCAGCGGCGAACGGGUGAGUAAUACAUGGGAAUCUGCCUGGUAGUGGGGGACAACGUUUCGAAAGGAACGCUAAUACCGCAUACGCCCUACGGGGGAAAGGGGGGGAUCUUCGGACCUCUCGCUAUCAGAUGAGCCCAUGUCAGAUUAGCUUGUUGGUGAGGUAAAGGCUCACCAAGGCGACGAUCUGUAACUGGUCUGAGAGGAUGAUCAGUCACACUGGAACUGAGACACGGUCCAGACUCCUACGGGAGGCAGCAGUGGGGAAUAUUGGACAAUGGGGGCAACCCUGAUCCAGCCAUGCCGCGUGUGUGAAGAAGGCCUUAGGGUUGUAAAGCACUUUCAGUGGGGAGAAAAGUGAUUCACCUAAUACGUGAGUCAAUUGAUGUUACCCACAGAAGAAGCACCGGCUAACUCCGUGCCAGCAGCCGCCGUAAUAC
rnacentral:rRNA from 1 species